rnacentral:tRNA from 1 species
CGCGGGGUAGAGCAGUUUGGUAGCUCGUAAGGCUCAUAACCUUGAAGUCGCGGGUUCAAAUCCCGUCUCCGCAA